rnacentral:rRNA from 1 species
AGCGAACCAGUACCGUGAGGGAAAGGUGAAAAGAACCCCGGGAGGGGAGUGAAACAGUCUCUGAAACCGUGCGCCUACAAUCCGUCGGAGCCUUCUUUGUGGGGUGACGGCGUGCCUAUCGAAAAAUGAGUCUGCGAGUCAGUGGCAUGUGGCGAGCAUAACCCGUGUGGGGUAUGCGUAGCGAAGGCGAGUCUUAAAAGGCGUUUGAGUCGCGUGUCCUGGACCCGAAGCGGGAUGAUCUAGCCCUGAGCAGGUUGAAGCGCGGGUAAGACCGCGUGGAGGACCGAACCCACCUGGGUUGAAAACCGGGGGGAUGACUUGGGGCUAGGGGUGAAAGGCCAAUCAAAUUCCGUGAUAGCUGGUUCUCUCCGAAAUGCAUUUGGGUGCAGCGUCGGGUCAUUACGUCCCGGGGGUAGAGCUACUGGAUGCUUGCGGGCCCGUAUCGGGUACCAACAGCAACCAAACUCCGAAUACCGGUGACGCGUAUCCCGGCAGUGAGUCGGCGGGGGAUAAGCUUCGUCGUCGAAAGGGAAACAGCCCAGACCGUCGUCUAAGGUCCCGAAGCGUGUGCUAAGUGGGAAAGGAUGUGGAGUCGCAUAGACAGCCAGGAGGUUGGCUCAGAAGCAGCCACCCUUGAAAGAGUGCGUAACAGCUCACUGGUCUAGUGGUUCCGCGCCGACAAUGUAGCGGGGCUCAAGCACACCACCGAAGACGCGGCAGUAUUUUGUACUGGGUAGGAGAGCGUCCCAUGAGGGGCGAAGCGGCCGUGUGAACGCGCCGUGGACUUCAUGGGAGUGAGAAUGCAGACAUGAGUAGCGAGAGACGGGUGAAGAUCCCGUCCGCUGGAUGACCAAGGGUUCCAGGGCCACGUUCAUCGUCCCUGGGUGAGUCGGGUCCUAAGGCGAGGCCGACAGGCGUAGUCGAAUGGAUGAACGGGUCGAUAUUCCCGUACCGGCUUUCAGCCGCCAAAACCGAGGCUUGGAGUACUAACCUCCGGGUCCGGGCUUACUGCUCCUUCGGGGGCGGGAUGCCCUGGCCUGUUGGGACCGAUCCUUGUAGUAGGUCAGCGCAGGAGUGACGCAGAAGGGUAGCCGGCCGCGGAGGUGGUCUUCCGUGGUCAAGCACGCAGGGCGUGGGACAGGCAAAUCCGUCCCGCAUGGGUCCGAGGUGCGAUGAUGGGGGCCUUAUGGCCCGAUAUCCGGUGAUCCCGGCUGCCGAGAAAAGCUUCGGCGUCAGGCUCAAAGCCGCCCGUACCCCAAACCGACACUGGUGGUCAGGUAGAGAAUACCAAAGCGAUCGAGCGAAUCCUGGUCAAGGAACUCGGCAAAUCACUCCCGUUCCUUCGGUUUAAGGGAGACCCCCGAUGGUGAACCGCCUCGCGCGGGGAGCUUUUGGGGGUGGCACAGACCAGGGGGUAGCGACUGUUUACCAAAAACACAGGUGCAUGCGAAGGCGAAAGCCGCUGUAUAUGCACUGACGCCUGCCCGGUGCCGGAAGGUUAAGAGGAUCCGUCAACUCUUCGGAGCGAAGCGGUGAAUUCAAGCCCCGGUAAACGGCGGUGGUAACUAUAACCAUCCUAAGGUAGCGAAAUUCCUUGUCGGGUAAGUUCCGACCUGCACGAAUGGCGUAACGACUUCCCCACUGUCUCGACCAGGAGCUCGGCGAAAUUGCAGUACGAGUAAAGAUGCUCGUUAAGCGCAGAAGGACGAAAAGACCCCGGGACCUUUACUAUACCUUGGUAUUGGCAUUCGGUGUGGAUUGUGUAGCAU